GCCGGUGAUGACAGCAAAGUGGAAACACCUGAUCCCAUUCCGAACUCAGCAGUUAAGCACUUUUGCGCCGAUGGUACUACCGAAAGGUGGGAGAGUAGGUCGUUGCCGGUU
rnacentral:rRNA from 1 species